ACGCGUACACAACAUACCCUUGACUGGGGGAUAGCGGUGGGAAACUGCCAGUAAUACCCCAUGCCCUUGCGGAGUGGCAUUAUUUUGCAAGGAAAGUUACGGCGGUUGAGGAUUGGUGUGCGUCCGAUUAGCUAGUUGGCGGGGUAACGGCCCACCAAGGCGACGAUCGGUAGGGGGUGUGAGAGCAUGGCCCCCCACACGGGUACUGAGACACGGACCCGACUCCUACGGGAGGCAGCAGUAAGGAAUAUUGGACAAUGGGCGGAAGCCUGAUCCAGCCAUGCCGCGUGAAGGAAGAAGGCGCUCAGCGUUGUAAACUUCUUUUGAAUGGGAACAAUAACCUCGACGUGUUCGGGGCUUGAGGGUACCAUUAGAAUAAGCACCGGCUAACUCCGUGCCAGCAGCCGCGGUAAUACGUAGGGUGCGAGCGUUAAUCGGAAUUACUGGGCGUAAAGCGUGCGCAGGCGGUUUUGUAAGACAGAUGUGAAAUCCCCGGGCUUAACCUGGGAACUGCGUUUGUGACUGCAAGGCUGGAGUACGGCAGAGGGGGGUGGAAUUCCACGUGUAGCAGUGAAAUGCGUAGAGAUGUGGAGGAACACCGAUGGCGAAGGCAGCCCCCUGGGCCUGUACUGACGCUCAUGCACGAAAGCGUGGGGAGCAAACAGGAUUAGAUACCCUGGUAGUCCACGCCCUAAACGAUGUCGACUAGUUGUUCGGUGCAGCAAUGCGCUGAGUAACGCAGCUAACGCGUGAAGUCGACCGCCUGGGGAGUACGGCCGCAAGGUUAAAACUCAAAGGAAUUGACGGGGACCCGCACAAGCGGUGGAUGAUGUGGAUUAAUUCGAUGCAACGCGAAAAACCUUACC
rnacentral:rRNA from 1 species